rnacentral:rRNA from 1 species
UAUGGAACCCUGGCGGCAGGUCCUAACACAUGCAAGUCGAGCGGUAGAGAGAAGCUUGCUUCUCUUGAGAGCGGCGGACGGGUGAGUAAUGCCUAGGAAUCUGCCUGGUAGUGGGGGAUAACGUUCGGAAACGAACGCUAAUACCGCAUACGUCCUACGGGAGAAAGCAGGGGACCUUCGGGCCUUGCGCUAUCAGAUGAGCCUAGGUCGGAUUAGCUAGUUGGUGAGGUAAUGGCUCACCAAGGCGACGAUCCGUAACUGGUCUGAGAGGAUGAUCAGUCACACUGGAACUGAGACACGGUCCAGACUCCUACGGGAGGCAGCAGUGGGGAAUAUUGGACAAUGGGCGAAAGCCUGAUCCAGCCAUGCCGCGUGUGUGAAGAAGGUCUUCGGAUUGUAAAGCACUUUAAGUUGGGAGGAAGGGCAUUAACCUAAUACGUUAGUGUUUUGACGUUACCGACAGAAUAAGCACCGGCUAACUCUGUGCCAGCAGCCGCGGUAAUACAGAGGGUGCAAGCGUUAAUCGGAAUUACUGGGCGUAAAGCGCGCGUAGGUGGUUUGUUAAGUUGGAUGUGAAAUCCCCGGGCUCAACCUGGGAACUGCAUUCAAACUGACUGACUAGAGUAUGGUAGAGGGUGGUGGAAUUUCCUGUGUAGCGGUGAAAUGCGUAGAUAUAGGAAGGAACACCAGUGGCGAAGGCCACCCCUGGACCUAAUACUGACACUGAGGUGCCGAAAGCCGUGGGG